GUGGCAUCUUUCUGAACUACCUCGACCGUCCGAGCUUCUAUAAUACCAUCCGGACUUCUCCGAUAAUGAGCUCCUCCAUUCAUGUACCGGGCUGCUCCAAAUGCUCUUUGGGCUUCAUUAUCAGCCGACUUUCUACAGUGAUUGGCUACCCUCUAAAUCUCUUCCAGACUUUCUCCUGCCACGAGCAACUUUACUCCGAACUUCUUUCGGACUUCAUCAAUGUUCGAGCUUCUCCAACGGCAGGACUUCUAC
rnacentral:lncRNA from 1 species